rnacentral:rRNA from 1 species
AGGCCAUGAAUCUGGUCUUGGGACACUGUCAGGUGGGCAGUUUGACUGGGGCGGUCGCCUCCCAAAAGGGAACGGAGGCGCUCAAAGGUUCUCUCAGUACGGUCGGAAAUCGUACGUAGAGGGUAAAGGCAAAAGAGAGCUUGAUUGCAAGACAUACAGGUCGAGCAAGGAUGAAAAUCGGACUUAGUGAUCCGGUGGUUCUGCGUGGAAGGGCCAUCGCUCA